rnacentral:rRNA from 1 species
GACAGAGGUGCCGAGCGUUAGGCGGAAUCACUGGGCUUAAAGCGUGUGUAGGCGGAUCUGUAAGUACCUUGUGAAAUCCCACGGCUCAACCGUGGAACUGCUUGGUAUACUGGUUGUCUUGAGCCAGCUAGGGGCGAGCGGAACAGACGGUGGAGCGGUGAAAUGCGUAGAUAUCGUCUGGAACGCCGAAGGUGAAAACAGCUCGCUGGGGCUGCGCUGACGCUGAGACACGAAAGCCAGGGGAGCGAACGGG